UUGUUCAGAGUGCAGGAGGUUUUUGUACGGCCAGUUAAUGAAUUUGUAUCACUGUGGUACACUUUUGGUGGAGGAACCAAACUCAUCGUUGACUCGGGUGUGGUGAGGCCCACUCUGACCGUGCUCCCACACCAGAGCAGUGGCACUCUGGUGUGUCUGGCCAGUGGGGGUUUCCCAUUAAAUUGGAAGCUGGGCUGGAAGGUGGGGGGCACCAGCACAUCCUCAGGGGUGUCAAACAGCUUGGAGGCCCAGGGUACAGACGGCCGCUACAGCUGGAGCAGCACCCUGAGCCUCUCUGCAGACCAGUGGAGGAAGGCGGGCUCAGUGACCUGUGAGGCCAGUCUGAGUGGACAGAGCCCUGUCACUCAAACCCUGGACCCUGCCCACUGCUCAGAGUAGAGCUUCAACAAUAUUUCAUGGCUGUGAAGCAUUUUAUAUUUUGAUGAAGCUACAUAUCUCCUCUGUUGCGAUAUUUCUGCAGAUGUUUGACUCUCUAUUAAUCUAAAUGCAGAAUUCAUCAGCUAUUCAUAUUAUAUUGUGCUUUAAAACCAUGCUGUAAGAAAGAAAACAAGUCUAUAUCACAAAAUAAAAUUGCAGUUUAUGAAAAAUCA